AUUGAACGCUGGCGGCAGGCCUAACACAUGCAAGUCGAACGGUAACAGGAAGAAGCUUGCUUCUUUGCUGACGAGUGGCGGACGGGUGAGUCAUGUCUGGGAAACUGCCUGAUGGAGGGGGAUAACUACUGGAAACGGUAGCUAAUACCGCAUAACGUCGCAAGACCAAAGAGGGGGACCUUCUGGCCUCUUGCCAUCGGAUGUGCCCAGAUGGGAUUAGCUAGUAGGUGGGGUAACGGCUCACCUAGGCGACGAUCCCUAGCUGGUCUGAGAGGAUGACCAGCCACACUGGAACUGAGACACGGUCCAGACUCCUACGGGAGGCAGCAGUGGGGAAUAUUGCACAAUGGGCGCAAGCCUGAUGCAGCCAUGCCGCGUGUAUGAAGAAGGCCUUCGGGUUGUAAAGUACUUUCAGCGGGGAGGAAGGGAGUAAAGUUAAUACCUUUGCUCAUUGACGUUACCCGCAGAAGAAGCACCGGCUAACUCCGUG
rnacentral:rRNA from 1 species